rnacentral:rRNA from 1 species
UACGUAGGGGUCUAGCGUUGUCCGGAAUUACUGGGCGUAAAGGGCUCGUAGGCGGCCAACUAAGUCGGACGUGAAAUCCCCAGGCUCAACCUGGGAACUGCGUCUGAUACUGGAUGGCUUGAAUCCGGGAGAGGGAUGCAGAAUUCCAGGUGUAGCGGUGAAAUGCGUAGAUAUCUGGAGGAAUACCGGUGGCGAAGGCGGCAUCCUGGACCGGCAUUGACGCUGAGGAGCGAAAGCCAGGGGAGCAAACGGG